rnacentral:rRNA from 1 species
AUUGAACGCUGGCGGCAGGCCUAACACAUGCAAGUCGAACGAGUGGCGGACGGGUGAGUAAUGUCUGGGAAACUGCCCGAUGGAGGGGGAUAACUACUGGAAACGGUAGCUAAUACCGCAUACCAUCGGAUGUGCCCAGAUGGGAUUAGCUUGUAGGUGAGGUAACGGCUCCCCUAGGCGACGAUCCCUAGCUGGUCUGAGAGGAGGACCAGCCAACGUGGAACGGAGACACGGUCCAGACGCCGACGGGAGGCAGCAGUGGGGAAUAUUGCACAAUGGGCGCAAGCCUGAUGCAGCCAUGCGGGGUGUAGGAAGAAGGCCUUAGGGUGGUAAAGUACUUUCAGCGGGGAGGCGUUACCCGCAGAAGAAGCACCGGCUAACUCCGUGCCAGCCGCCGCGGUAAUAC